CUGCUUUGCGAUCCACAGAAGGAGGACCUGUUAGAGGACUGAUUCCCAACCACCAAGCGGAUCUUAAAUACAUGGUUUAUAAAAUUGAUUUCUACGAGCAAAAGUAAGAGUCAUACUAAGAGAGACGGUGCAUUGGAGAGCAGUUACUUGGAUUGUGCACAAGAAAUUGCGGGAAUCAUUUAAGAACUAGCAACUGUGGCCUUUCCCCUGAAUCGCUUCAUGGAUUAGCCACCACGAGGAAGAAAAAGCGAAGACGGCAGAUGACCCUUUCAGAAGCGCGUCGAAGGCGUCUUGCUGAGAGGCCUAAGCUGCUAUCUUUCGGUCGGAGAGAACCGACCACCCGAAAGACCCACCAUUCGUCUGUU